UUCACCUGAGGAUAGUUGGAGUACGUAAUGAAGCUGUUAUAUUUAGUAAAACGAAUUGAUUAGAGAAAUUGUGGGACGAAACGUCUUCAAUCUGUUCUCAAAUUUUCAACGAAUACGAUGCCGCUUUUGUCUGAAUGAAGCGUAGACAUUGAAUGUGUGCUCCAAGUGGGCAAUUUUUGGUAAGCGGAACUGAUGCUGCUAGAUGAACGA
rnacentral:ncRNA from 1 species